rnacentral:rRNA from 1 species
ACGAAGUCUGACGGAGCAACGCCGCGUGAGUGAUGAAGGUUUUCGGAUCGUAAAACUCUGUUGUUAGGGAAGAACAAGUACCGUUCGAAUAGGGCGGUACCUUGACGGUACCUAACCAGAAAGCCACGGCUAACUACGUGCCAGCAGCCGCGGUAAUACGUAGGUGGCAAGCGUUGUCCGGAAUUAUUGGGCGUAAAGCGCGCGCAGGCGGUUUCUUAAGUCUGAUGUGAAAGCCCCCGGCUCAACCGGGGAGGGUCAUUGGAAACUGGGGAACUUGAGUGCAGAAGAGGAGAGUGGAAUUCCACGUGUAGCGGUGAAAUGCGUAGAGAUGUGGAGGAACACCAGUGGCGAAGGCGACUCUCUGGUCUGUAACUGACGCUGAGGCGCGAAAGCGUGGGGAGCGAACAGGAUUAGAUACCCUGGUAGUCCACGCCGUAAACGAUGAGUGCUAAGUGUUAGAGGGUUUCCGCCCUUUAGUGCUGCAGCAAACGCAUUAAGCACUCCGCCUGGGGAGUACGGUCGCAAGACUGAAACUCAA